rnacentral:lncRNA from 1 species
UUGGCGUCCAUAGAGAGGACGAUGAAGCGGCGGCCGCGGGGCUCGCUGUGGCGGAAAGAGAGAGCGGUUACACCGAAAGUGGUGGAGAGGGAGCGGUUGCGCAUCCAUGAUGCGGUGGUUGGAGAUGGCGAGGGUUUAAGGCUCGUUGAUGAAGCUGCUGCCGCCAUCAGUGGUUGAUUAACGAAAAUUGCGGCGGAAGAGAGUGGAGUGAGGGCGGCUGAGGUGGUAUGCCUAUUUAUGUGAAGGGAGCCCCUUGGCUAUGUGGCUUACGUGGGAAUCAGGUGGUGGGACUUGGGAGAAAUUUCUUCUCUUCUCUUCCUUCUUUUCUUUCUUUCUUUCUAUUUUACAAAUAUACAUAUUUUGUUAUAUAUUAAUAUUUAAAUGCAAAAUUUUAGAACAUGUCCAAUGAUGCUCUAAAUUAUAUUUAAAUUGUGAUUUAGAUCCAGAAUGAUCGAAAA